CCACUAAAAAUGUGCACAAUAGCACAGCUAUCAAGAAAGAAAUGAACCCUAUCAUUGCACCUUGGUUUGUGGAAGCAAAAUUGAGGAUCAGCAGGAGCUCUGUAUAUCAUCACAUACUGAUGAAAGUGAGGAGAGAGAAGAAGGAGAUGUAUAGGAGAAGAAGCUUAACAUGAAGUAUAAAAUUGUAAAUAUUGUACCAAAAAUAUUAUUUUGCUUCUUUAUUAUAAUUAAAAGUAUGAAAUUGUAAGUACUAUUGUAUCGAAAAUAUUAGUUUGUCAUUUUAUAUUAUAAUUUUUAUUUAACUUGGUCCAACAGAAUAUUAUUUCAUGUAUGUCUUAUAUAUUGAAAUUUAGAAUCUCUUAUACAUUUAAAUUUUUAUGUUUGUUACUCUUUUCAAAUUAUAUGAUUGAAUUAAUUUUAAAUUCAUCCAUGCUCAUUAUUCUAUUGAUUAAUUAUUAUCCUUUCAUCCUCUAGCCCCUAUGUAUUGUAAUAUUAACAUUUUCAAAUUGUAUUCUGAUACCUGUUAAGUAUAAAACUUCAAAAAUGUAAUGAAAAAAGAUAUGUACAAGGUGAUACAUAUCUGAUAGGUAUACAAUAUGUACAUUGUUCACAUAUCUGGUACAUACCUGAUCUAUAUCAGUUAUGUAUCAGAUAGGUAGAAAUGUCCGCUUUUGUGAUAUGUACCAAGAGAGUAUCAGUGAUACAUAUCAGUUAUGUAUCACUGAUAUGUAACUGAUACUUAUCAAUGAAACAUAUCAGUUACGUAACAUAUCACUGUUACAUAACUGACAUGCUUCAAUAAAAUGUAUCAGUUAUGUAUCACUGAUACCUGUUUGGUACAUAUCUCAAAAGUGGAGAUUUCUACCUAUCUGAUAUAUAACUGAUAUAUCAGAUAUGCAUCCGUAUUUUUCUGAUAUGUAUUGUAGGUUUCAAUGAUAUGUAUUAUAAUGUUACUUAUUAAAAAGAUAAAUCAUUUGAAUUUAGCGCUGAACAAAACAUUGAUACUGUAUAAUCAAAUAGAGAAAUAUCAAUAGUCGAAAGUUCAUUUUUCAUUGUAUUGUUGAUAAUUCAAAAUAAUGUUUGUAGGUUAGAUGCCAACACAACAAAGUUAUUAAAUAUAAAGUUUCCAAUACUAAAAUUUCAAAAUAAAAAAUAAUGAAACACUUUAAAAGAUGAAAUAAUUGAUAAUUUUAUUAAAUAAAUCAAAAGAGUUGUACCAAUUACAUUAACAUAAAUUUUACAUAAUGUUAUCAUUUACAGAAUUUCAAUAAAACAAUAUACAAAAAGCCAAAUAUAAAUUUAAAUCAAAUAAAUAGCAUUUUUAUUAAAUUUGAACAGUAAAUAAAUAACAAAAAGAAUUAUUCUAAUAUAUGGAGGGAAAUUGAGUGGUAUAAAACGUUAUGGCAGUUAAAAACUGGAGGGAAAGAAGCGAAGUCUUGUUCUGUUUGGUAUUUUUCGUGAUGGUAGAUGUACAACCUUUCUUUGUUGUGUGUUAAAAGAUUUAGCUAGUGCAGUUUUAUUAUUAAAGGUUUAUCUUGAAUUGAAAUGUAAAGUGAUAUAAUGGAAAAGAGAAAACUUGGUAUUAAUGUGGAGAUGAAAUGUAGUUUUGAAACAGUUAAAUGUUAUUAAAGUGGGAAUCAAACUUAACACACUUUGUGGGAUAAUAUUAUUCAUUUUAUUAUGAAUUGACAGAAAAAUGUAUUUGAAUUAUUAGCUUCUAGUAUUAAUUGUAUGUUUUCUAAAAAGGGUGAGUCAUUAUCAUUGUCAUUAUUAUUAUUUAGUAUAAGUAUAAAUAACCUAUGUAUUGUAAAUUGAAAUUGAACUCAUUCAAGGACUUUGUCCAAGAACAUGAAUAUAAAAUUAAAAUCAGCAUAUUACUAAAUUGAAUAUGUUCUUAUUUUUUACUAUCAAAUUCCAUUAGGUUAUCAUUUUCAUAAUAAAAUUUUAAAUCUCCCUCAGGCUCUAUGUAAGGAACUGUUUUGUUUUGGAGUAUGCUUCUGACAGUGGUGAAAAUUAAAGAAUUUUAUUUAAAUUAUUAUAUUUAAUCAAAAUAUUAAAAAAGACGUGUGUGCAGUAUCUGAUACCUAUCAGAUAUAUAACCGUGCUGUGUGGGUAUGUUGAGACUAUAAUCGAUCAGGCAUCUAUGCUCUUGCUAUUUACUACCGGUACGGUAUGUGUAAUGCAGUAGCGGCUCGUGAUCUUUUAGCUUGGGGGUUCAACCUCAUGAUCUAUUGGGGAGAAAUGUCAAGAGGAUAUAGCUUAGAGUAUUGAGCAUAAUCUAGUGUAAAGGUGAUCAAUAAUAAUUUUAAAGAAUUACCCUUCAAAGAUUAAGCAUAUUUUCUACAAAUAUAGAUUUUUUGUCCUGUUCAUAUUUUUCUUGUUCAAUUUUUACUUUGGGAGUAAAUCUACCAACAUGUUUUAUUUUACACCUAUCCUCAAUAUUAAUAAUGUUUGUCUUAACAGAUAAUGAACCUUAUACAUAUUCCUUCAUCAAAAUGAUGUUACGGUAUCUAACACUCUAUAAAUUAUAUUCACACUCUCACUAAAACAAAAUGGACAUACUAGAAUUCCUCACAAAUACACGAAACACACUAGAAAUUACAAGUCUAUAUUCUUCAACACGCAAAACAAAUUUAUAUAACAAAAAAUGCUGUGAAAUCUAUCACAACUGUAUACAGUAAGCUUAUAUAUCAUACCCGAAACCGUACCGUAUAACCUCAAAACUGUCACGCUUUCUACUUCUUGUUUACCGCUUUUCUACUGUUUACCUGUUUACUGCCACCAAAUUUGAAUUUAUUGGUUACUGUAUGUUCAAGAUGGCACUGCUACUGAAUCCGUAUCACAAAUACUCAUGAUUCAUUCCGAGGUUUACCGAAUGCUUCACUUGCCUCGGCUAGGUUCGGCUACUCUCGGAUGAACUCGAUGAACUCGUGGAAACAUGGUUCAGUCAGGAUUGUGAACCAAAUCCGUGCUAGCAAACCGAUUCCCCUCCUCUGUUCCACUACCUCACCCAGCCAUGUUUUUGGGUUCACAUCAGGGAAUGAACACUGCUUUCCACCACCACCCGUCUCGUCAUGCCAUUCGGUGCUGUUUCAAGCAAGCCACUCCGGCACCGGCCGCAAGACAACGACGUUAAGUUUACGUAGAUGAAAAAUUUUGUGAUGUAAUUUCAUGAGUAUGAAAUAAAAAUAUAAUUAUAUGAGUAGAAUUCAUCAUUCUAUAGGAGUUGGUUCAAUUCUGGGGGUUCAAUGAACCAUUGAACACAUAGGACGAGCCGCCACUGUGUAAUGGGACCCUUCAGCCAGUUACACAAACAUCAACAUUUGGACGUUCGAUUAUAUUACCGUCCUUACUACUAGAUUAAACGGAACUCGACAAACACAUAAACACAUCAUCUGUUUGUCAAGAUGUUCAAUCUAAUAUAAUUUAUAAGGACGAAAAAACUCG
rnacentral:lncRNA from 1 species